AAUCCGGAUGUCAUUGGUUGGAUCCACCAUCAUCGAAUCACUCUCCUGGGGAAACAAAUUAUUAAGUGCUUAGAGAUACAGCUUUUUGCAUAAGAAUGACUAGUUAUUUCUGUGUGUCAAGGGGAAUCCUAGCAGAAUAAAAACGGAUGGUUUACAAUGUAAAUCCUGAAAGUUAAGUGGUGUCCUAUGUAAGACCAGAUGACACAAACCUGAUAAUGCAUCUCUUGAAGCGUUUGGGGUGAGCCCCGAGGCCUGGGUGCAGGAGUGGUUUACUGAGUGGCAAUCAUCAGCAAUGCCAUCUGGGGCAUUGGAGAAGACCCAUGCUGAGAGGACCUGCGAGAGAGCCAGUGGGUCUCAUCCAAGGAGAAGGCGCCUAGGCGCUGUCCGUAGUGCUGAAAUGGUGCGUGGUGAGACCUGUCUCCCCAACACAAGCUAGAAGACAACAAAAUAGCAGCCAGGAAACGCUCUGAUAAAGCUCUAGAUAGCUGCCAGGCCGAGCUCAAGGGAGCAGAACUAAGUUACAUGAUUCUGCUGCGGAUGUAUAAGCACCACUCCAAUAAUUUAUUAUCACGGUUGGAGACUUUGACUUGUCACUUUAUGACUUGAAAUAUGGCUCCAUGGUAAAUGCCCAUAAAGCUGAUUUUUAAAAUCUGGAUAUUACAGUUCUAAUUCUCACUUAGUUUAAAAGGUAGAAUAGGCUUCUUGUUUCAUAGAUCAUUUGUGUGAAUGUUGAUUUGUUAUGUCAUUGACAUCAUACACACAUGCUUACAUUUUGAAGGUUGCUAGCGUUUCCCAUUAAUGCUUCUGAAUUGAUGCCAAAGGAAAGCAUUGAUUAUAAAUUAGGUUCCUUGGUAUUAGUUGGUGCAUGACCCUGACCCUUUUCAAGCUAUAUGAAAGGUAAUGAUGCUCUCAAAAGCCUGCAAAAUGGCUUAUUCAGGAAAGCAUAAUGGAUUAAAAAUCCAUUAGGUUCCACUUUCUUUGCUAGAUGCUGAGAUACAAAGAUAAAUGAGAUUUGGUCUCUGCCCUCGAGGAGAUACGUGGCAAAAUAAUAUGGUAAGUUCUACAAAGUUCUAUACAAACACAGAUUAAUAUGCUAUUCAUGUUUUAUUAGCCAUUGCCAAAGAAGGGAUGAAGAACUGCAAAAAGAUAAAACACAGAAUACUUGUACUUCAGGUCCUUGCCAAUAUCUACUGCCCAACUUUUACAAAAAAAAUUGCUGAAAGGCAUGAAAUAUAUGAAUGCCUUUCUAAAGCACAUGUGGAUAAUCUAUACUUCUGGAGCAUCUAUGAUUUAUUUUCAGAACAAUCCAAGUUAUUAGAAAGGUAAAUAUGUUGGUGACAUUGUUUAGAAGUUCCUCAAGCAGAAUUGCCUUUACUAUGCUUUGACAUUAUGCUCUCAGCUUAUAUACAGUAAUUCUAUGUGAAACAGUAGCCAGCUUACACAACCUGCUCUAUAUCUACUACAGAGCUGUUACUAAAGUGUUGGUCAACAUAUAACUUACUAUUUCUUAUAUAAAGAUGCCCAAGAAAUUUAGAUUUCAUAGAUAUAUCCCCAAAAGCAUUUCUUUCAAUACCAGUUUAAUGAAUUGAACUUUCAUACCUCACUUAAAUCAACCCAGGGUAAAGUGGUAUGUUCUGUUCUUACACACAAUGAAAAUCAUGUAACUAAUUAAAGUUAGCAUUUAUUUUAGCUACUAGGGAUGCCAGAGUCAAAUUAACAGCUGAAAAUGAAUAACUACAUAAGACCUUAAGCCUUUUAUAUCUUUUCUUUUUUUUUAAUCACCUUAACUACUGCAAUUUUGGUUUCUUAGGUAAUGAUAAUAUUAUUUUCUUUUAAUUAUUUGUUUUAAUGUGUGACCUCAUGUAAAUGUCCUCAUAAAAUCAGAAGUGGAGUAAAUAAAUAAAUAAAGUAAAUUUCUCUACUUUUUGAUUAUUGGGUGAGUGUAUAUGGUUGUUUUAUAAAUUUAUUCUAAAUAGGAUACUAAAAUACAGAAAAUGUAUCAUCUAAUUAGCUAUGAAGAUAAAAAUCUAAACUAUAAUGAGGAAAUAUUAAAAUGUCAAGAUGACGAAGAAAUUUUUCAGUUUAUAUAAUUAUAGAUCAGCUUAAUUUCAAACCACUUUGUUACCCUAUUGCUAUUUUUAUACUCUAAAUAGUGUCCCUUAUAUGACUAAGACUUUUUGUUAUCUCAGAGAUUGGAAGUGUUAAUUGUCCACCUUGUUAGAAGACAUGGUAACUAUAGGAAUUUAGAAAGCAUGAUAGCCCAACUGUAAUGAAUAUAUUCUAGAAUGAGGUUGUCACAAAGAAACUGAAAACAAGAAUUUCCUCUAACAACUGAGCUCAGGAUUCUUUUCAGAGGAAAAUUUAGCUUGCAUAAAUUCUUGCCAUCUUGGCUCUAGUUGACUUCUUGCUCUCAACUUUUGCAAAGUGAGAUCACCUUUACCUCUUCAACCUAUGAGGCCAACAUGUUACUUUCAAUUUUUCAGGAAAAUCUACGUCUUGUUUGGCUGAGGUUUGAUUAUUAUUCCUUAACUAAAAUAUUUUAAUGUAGCUGUGCUUUUUAAUUUGAAUAUUGCUAUUGAUUCAAACAUUGGGUAGCAUAUCUUUCAAAUGUGAAAUUUUAAAACAUGUAUUAAAGACAAACAUAAAUUAGUUUUGGUAUAACUAUUUUUUAAGAUUAAUCCAAUGCUUUUUUGGCUUUAGAUGAUGUUUGGUAAUUAGCUAUAUUCAAAAGUCAACCUUUUUUUUUUUUCAAAAAAUGAACUCCUAUGUAUAUGAGUGUUAUUUUUAUCUACCCAUGUCUUUUUUGUCUACAUAUACAGUUUUAAUCAUUGUUUCGGGGGGAGGAAUAAGAAUGAUUUUGAAAUUUCACUAAGAAAGAUAUGCCCUCUUCCUAAAAAUACAUAUAUACAGAUGUUUUGCUCACAGCUCAGGUAUUCAUGGAUCUCUGGAAGUUCAUUUUUAUAAUCCCAAGGUAAUCCAAAGAGCCUGCUAAAAAAUUCUGCUGUAAAUGCAUGGUACAUGAUCUCAUUCCCUGUUUUACAACGAAGUAUU
rnacentral:lncRNA from 1 species